UAGGGAAUCUUCGGCAAUGGACGGAAGUCUGACCGAGCAACGCCGCGUGAGUGAAGAAGGUUUUCGGAUCGUAAAGCUCUGUUGUAAGAGAAGAACGAGUGUGAGAGUGGAAAGUUCACACUGUGACGGUAUCUUACCAGAAAGGGACGGCUAACUACGUGCCAGCAGCCGCGGUAAUACGUAGGUCCCGAGCGUUGUCCGGAUUUAUUGGGCGUAAAGCGAGCGCAGGCGGUUAGAUAAGUCUGAAGUUAAAGGCUGUGGCUUAACCAUAGUACGCUUUGGAAACUGUUUAACUUGAGUGCAAGAGGGGAGAGUGGAAUUCCAUGUGUAGCGGUGAAAUGCGUAGAUAUAUGGAGGAACACCGGUGGCGAAAGCGGCUCUCUGGCUUGUAACUGACGCUGAGGCUCGAAAGCGUGGGGAGCAAACAGGAUUAGAUACCCUGGUAGUCCACGCCGUAACGAUGAGUGCUAGGUGUUGGGUCCUUUCCGGGACUCAGUGCCGCAGCUAACGCAUUAAGCACUCCGCCUGGGGAGUACGACCGCAAGGUUG
rnacentral:rRNA from 1 species